GGGUGGACUAGGCUGGCGCGUUGGCCCUGCGCUGUAACUCUAAACGGGCCUUAUGAGAGAGUCGAAGCUUGAAAAGAGGCAUUUGUUUAGUUUAGUGGUCUUGGUUUCAACUGUGAGGUUCUGUCCUUUAGGAUCAUAUCUUUUGGAAAACUGGUCACACGCUAAAAUCGGAGAUUCGCUAUCUCUGGCGUGCCAGAGAGGAUGGGAACAUAGCAGCCAUAACCUGCUGAUAUGGUGCUUAGAGGGUAGCGGAACUGAGGAGAAAUCAAGGUAAGCUAUUAAGCUUUACUUGUGUCGAAUUUUAGGCAUGUCCAUCC
rnacentral:SRP_RNA from 1 species